CGCCGGGGUAGGAGUGGUACGCUCGUCAUAUACUCGAAGGCAUAGUUUAAUUUAGUUUCGUUGUUAAAUAGUUUCGUGUUGUAAAUUCUUGUGCCGCAACAACUCGGAACCUGGUGUGCUGGGAGGCAAAACAAGGACGUGGAGGGUUGCCCGUGUCGCCGCUUGCCUAAGUCCCGUCUCCUUGCCCCGCCGCAGUCAUCACCACGAAGCAGGUCGGUAUGGCGGUGAAGAGGCGCGGGCGGCGUGGCUGGCGAGGCUGACAUCCCUCGUGCCUGUUCGGGGCAUUACCAAGACGCAUACCUCACGCAUAACUCACCUGCGCGGCGGCCGUCCACGCUGGCCAGGCUACCAGGUUGACGUCGGAGGACCGUUAGCGCAGGGUAAUGAACCUUCAAGAGUCUGUACACAAGUCAUACACUCAGUCAUGGUGCAGGUGUCGCGCAGGUGGGGCGUCGCGGCAGGUGGGGUGUCACCGCGGGAGAGGCGGGAAGGACUACAGCUGGCGGGAGAGGGAGGCAGGAUGAAUGUCCCGCCAGAAAGAGCAGCAGACAUGUGUUUGAAUAUUGCGGUAAGGUUCUGAAUUGCUUGCAUUUGAAAACUGCUACUGCGUAGUAAUUAGCAUUUAUAAGUUCUUGCACAGUUGGAGCUAAAUGUAUUUUGAU